rnacentral:rRNA from 1 species
GACAGAGGUGGCAAGCGUUGUUCGGAAUCACUGGGCUUAAAGCGCGUGUAGGCGGCUUGGUAAGUGUCGUGUGAAAUCCCGCGGCUCAACCGCGGAAUGGCACGGCAAACUGCCCGGCUUGAGGUCGGUAGAGGUGCCUGGAACUCCAGGUGGAGCGGUGAAAUGCGUAGAUAUCUGGAGGAACGCCGGAGGCGAAAGCGGGGCACUGGGCCGAUUCUGACGCUGAGACGCGAAAGCGUGGGGAG